UUCUUCGGAUUGUUUAUUUCAGCUCAUGAAACAUCGGACCAACACUUUACAUGCGUUUAUAUUUUUGUUCAGUAUAACUAGACCUUUAGUACAUCAUACUACAUCAUUGUAGGUGCUCAGAAAUAUGUAUAGUAUGUUUCGUAUGGCUCUGAGGCCAAGCUGGAUGAUCAAUAUCAAGGUUCAUCACACCAUCAGAAGGCCUGUACUGACCUCUGCUGGAUUCCUUCAUAUAUUGUAAUUGGCCAAGAAAAGAUUGAGUGAUUAUAUGACUGAGAUAAUAUUCUCAUUUACAGAAACGACCUGGGGAAUAGUUACAGGGGAUGAAUGAGCCAAUUGUAAACUGGGGAUUAUUAGGUGACCGUAUGAGGGCCAGGUUAGGAAUUCAGCCAGAACACCAGGGUUAACACCCCUACAAUAAGUGUCAUGGGAUCUUAAGUGACCACAGAGAGUCAGGACAUCCAUUUAACAUCCCAUCUGAAAGACAGCACCCUACACAGGGCAAUUUGCCCAAUUACUGCCCUGGGGAAUUGGGAUUUUGUUUUUAGACCAGAGGAAUGGGUGCCUCCUACUGGCCCUCCAACACCACUUCCAGCAGCAUUUGGUCUCCCAUCCAGGACCAACCCUGCUUAGCCUGGCCUGUUGCAAAACGUUUUGCAACUGAGAGUUUCUCGUGGACAAAUAAAUGUGACCUGCUCAAAUGGUUCCAGAACUCUGCAUACCUCCUCCACCACCUCCCAUUCCACUUGAGUCAGAGCAUCAACAGUUGCAUUGACAAUGGCCAGACAUUGGCAUAAACUGGUCCAUAGAAGACAGCGUUGCUGUGGGUCGCGGAGUAGGCCUACUUGACUGAGUGGACACAUCUCCACGUGUGGAGGUGCUGGCUCCACCACUAUCACUAGCAGGCCCGCUAGUUUCUCGAAGCUUCUCUA